rnacentral:rRNA from 1 species
AUUGAACGCUGGCGGCAGGCCUAACACAUGCAAGUCGAGCGGAUGAAGGGAGCUUGCUCCUGGAUUCAGCGGCGGACGGGUGAGUAAUGCCUAGGAAUCUGCCUGGUAGUGGGGGAUAACGUCCGGAAACGGGCGCUAAUACCGCAUACGUCCUGAGGGAGAAAGUGGGGGAUCUUCGGACCUCACGCUAUCAGAUGAGCCUAGGUCGGAUUAGCUAGUUGGUGGGGUAAAGGCCUACCAAGGCGACGAUCCGUAACUGGUCUGAGAGGACGAUCAGUCACACUGGAACUGAGACACGGUCCAGACUCCUACGGGAGGCAGCAGUGGGGAAUAUUGGACAAUGGGCGAAAGCCUGAUCCAGCCAUGCCGCGUAUGUGAAGAAGGUCUUCGGAUUGUAAAGCACUUUAAGUUGGGAGGAAGGGCAGUAAGUUAAUACCUUGCUGUUUUGACGUUACCAACAGAAUAAGCACCGGCUAACUUCGUG